GUAGGUGGCAAGCGUUGUCCGGAAUUAUUGGGCGUAAAGCGCGCGCAGGCGGGUCCUUUAAGUCUGAUGUGAAAGCCCACGGGCUCAACCGUGGAGGGUCAUUGGAAACUGGGGGACUUGAGUACAGAAGAGGAAAGCGGAAUUCCACGUGUAGCGGUGAAAUGCGUAGAGAUGUGGAGGAACACCAGUGGCGAAGGCGGCUUUCUGGUCUGUAACUGACGCUGAGGCGCGAAAGCGUGGGGAGCAAACAGGAUUAGAUACCCUGGUAGUCCACGCCGUAAACGAUGAGUGCUAAGUGUUAGGGGGUUUCCGCCCCUUAGUGCUGCAGCUAACGCAUUUAGCACUCCGCCUGGGGAGUACGGCCGCAAGGCUG
rnacentral:rRNA from 1 species